GUGACAUAGCACUAAUCUAGAGAAUAACGAAUCCCUUUUGAUGAAUGACACCUAAAUAAAUGCAUUCCAAACAGACCUUUUAUGCAUGUCUAUCUCUUAUUGUUUCAGGGUCAUUUCAAUACUGAAGCAUUUUAUUAUAAAUGAAGCUGUCCUGUACAAUAUAGACUCUCAGAGAGAGAGAGAGACACUAAUUCUAAAUUCAUCACUGAAAUCCACCCAAGAGAAUAUCCUUCUUAACUUGGCAUUUUGGGGUCGGGAUUCAUAUCUCCAUUGCCCGACUUCAAACCCAUGCUCAAACGGCUGUAUCACAUUUCGAGGAGUUCUAAAGGAAAGUGCAGUAUUUCUGGGCUCAGUCCGUCCUGAGAGGGUGCGUAUGGUGAGCUGCCUGAGGAAUUGAGGACUGAGAAGUGGGGGUGGUAGUGGAAAACCAAGGGAAAGAUGGCAUGCGGAUGGGGGACAAAUGGAGAAGGGGGAGAGGAGAAUGCCAUGAUGGGUUUUUUUCUCUGUGUACCAUCAUCGCACGCAGAAUAAGCCCUCACUGUAAGAGUAUUGUUUUUAAUAGCAACUUUAAGCUUCCUAAUAUGUUUGUUCAUAUGGUAAAAUUUU
rnacentral:lncRNA from 1 species